CACAGAGCUGUGUGCUGUACUUAGUGUCUUAAAUGACUACCACAGAGCUCAUGACUCAACUCAGGAGUGUGUGGCAUUCUCCUGGAAUAUUCUCUGAUCAUAGGAAACUGAAGGUGAAAUAGAGAACAUGAAGGCAUCCUCCUCUGUGUCCACAGACACUGUUUCAGGAGCCCUUGUUCAAGGAAGGCUGGAGAUUUGGAGUAAGGAAAUGACCGAAACAGAGAAACAUUUGAAGAUGCCACACUGAUGACUUUGAAGAGGGAGGAUGAAGUCAUGAACUAGGGAAGUGGGAAGCCUCGAGAACCUAGUAAAAGUAAGGAAAUGGAA